UACGGAAGGGGGCUAGCGUUGCUCGGAAUCACUGGGCGUAAAGCGCACGUAGGCGGAUCUUUAAGUCAGGGGUGAAAUCCCAAGGCUCAACCUUGGAAGCUGCCUUUGAUACUGGGGAUCUCGAGUCCGGAAGAGGUUGGUGGAACUGCGAGUGUAGAGGUGAAAUUCGUAGAUAUUGGGAAGAACACCAGUGGCGAAGGCGGCUUACGUGGUCCGGUACUGACGCUGAGGUGGCGAAAGCGUGGGAGCAACAGG
rnacentral:rRNA from 1 species